UACGGAGGGGGCUAGCGUUGUUCGGAAUUACUGGGCGUAAAGCGCGCGUAGGCGGCUUUUCAAGCCAGAGGUGAAAUCCCGGAGCUUAACUCCGGAACUGCCUUUGGAACUGUUGAGCUAGAGUCUCGGAGGGGAUGGUGGAAUUUCCAGUGUAGAGGUGAAAUUCGUAGAUAUUGGAAGGAACACCGGUGGCGAAGGCGACCAUCUGGACGAGUACUGACGCUGAGGUGCGAAAGCGUGGGGAGCAAACAGG
rnacentral:misc_RNA from 1 species